rnacentral:rRNA from 1 species
CUAACANAUGCNAGUCGAACGGGUAGCAUUGGUGCUUGGAUCACAUGACGAGUGGCGCACGGGUGNCUAACGCGUNUACAAUCNGCCUUUUACAGGGGGAUAGCCUUUNCAAAUGAAGAUUAAUAUCCCAUAGUAAGUUGUUAUUGCAUGNUNGUGACUUUAAAGUUUGGGCGGUAAAAGAUGNGUAUGCGUUCUAUUAGCUAGAUGGUGUGGNAACNGCNCACCAUGGCGACNAUAGAUAGGGGCCCUGAGAGGGGGAUCCCCCACACUGGUACUGAGACACGGACCANACUCCUACGGGAGGCAGCAGUGAGGAAUAUUGGACAAUGGGCGAGAGCCUGAUCCAGCCAUGCCGCGUGCAGGAAGACUGCCCUAUGGGUUGUAAACUGCUUUUAUACAGGAAGAAACCUUUUCACGUGUGAAAAGCUGACGGUACUGUAAGAAUAAGGAUCGGCUAACUCCGUGCCAGCAGCCGCGGUAAUACGGAGGAUCCAAGCGUUAUNCGGGAAUCAUUGGGUUUAAAGGGUCCGUAGGUUGAUAAUUAANUCAGGGGUGAAAGUUUGCAGCUCAACUGUAAAAUUGCCUUUGAUACUGGUUAUCUUUGAAUUAUUGUGAAGUGGUUAAAAUUNUNUANUGUAGCGGUGAAAUGCCUUAGAUUUUUACAUAGAAUACCCAAUUGCGAAAGGCAGAUNACUUAACAA